rnacentral:lncRNA from 1 species
AUCGCCAUAAAUUUUCACCUCAUUCUAGGGCUUGUGUCUUCCUUGGUUACCUUUCGGGUUACAAAGGAUAUAAACUUCUCGACAUCGAGAGCAAUUAAAUUAUCAUCUCACGUAACAUCAUUUUUCAAGAACAUAUCUUUCUGUUUCUUUCAUCUCACUCACCUGAUCCUAUUCAUAGUGAUUUUUUUUUCAUGAUCGUGUUUUACCUCUUCCUCUCCAUACAUCUACACACUCCUCAAGUUCUCUUGAUACACCUGUCCACUCACAACAUGAGUCUUCCAAAACACUAU